AGGCAGGGUGAUGGGGUCUGUUGUCCCCCGCUGCACAGUAAUAAUCUGCCUCGUCCUCAGCCUGGAGCCCAGUGAUGGUCAAGGAGCCUGUGCUGCCAGACUUGGAGCCAGAAAAUCGAUCUGGGAUCCCCGAGGGUCGAUUGCUAUU